GUGGGGGCAUCCCUCACUGUUUUCUGGUAAAGAAAAAUAUAAUGGAUUUUGACUUUUUCUUGCACUGUUAGACCACUCGUCUUAUUAAAAAAAUUUGGAAUUAUUAUUUAUUUUAUUUGUGACUUACUUUAUUAUCCAAAGUACUUUAAGCACAACUUUUCAUUUUUUAAUAUUUGGACAAUUUUUUUUAAAUAAGACGAGUGGUUAAACAGUGCAAAGCAAAAAAUCAAAAUCCCUUAUAUUACGGGAUGGAGGGAGCAUGUAGGAUGGCCAUGCCAU
rnacentral:pre_miRNA from 1 species